rnacentral:rRNA from 1 species
AGUGAACGCUGGCGGUAGGCCUAACACAUGCAAGUCGAACGGCAGCACAGUAAGAGCUUGCUCUUACGGGUGGCGAGUGGCGGACGGGUGAGGCAUACAUCGGAAUCUACUUUUUCGUGGGGGAUAACGUAGGGAAACUUUCGCUAAUACCGCAUACGACCUACGGGUGAAAGCAGGGGAUCUUCGGACCUUGCGCGAUUGAAUGAGCCGAUGUCGGAUUAGCUAGUUGGCGGGGUAAAGGCCCACCAAGGCGACGAUCCGUAGCUGGUCUGAGAGGAUGAUCAGCCACACUGGAACUGAGACACGGUCCAGACUCCUACGGGAGGCAGCAGUGGGGAAUAUUGGACAAUGGGCGCAAGCCUGAUCCAGCCAUACCGCGUGGGUGAAGAAGGCCUUCGGGUUGUAAAGCCCUUUUGUUGGGAAAGAAAAGCAGCAGGUUAAUACCCCGCUGUUCUGACGGUACCCAAAGAAUAAGCACCGGCUAACUUCGUG